rnacentral:rRNA from 1 species
GAUGAACGCUGGCGGCGUGCCUAAUACAUGCAAGUCGAGCGAACAGACGAGGAGCUUGCUCCUCUGACGUUAGCGGCGGACGGGUGAGUAACACGUGGAUAACCUACCUAUAAGACUGGGAUAACUUCGGGAAACCGGAGCUAAUACCGGAUAAUAUAUUGAACCGCAUGGCUCAAUAGUGAAAGACGGUUUUGCUGUCACUUAUAGAUGGAUCCGCGCCGCAUUAGCUAGUUGGUAAGGUAACGGCUUACCAAGGCAACGAUGCGUAGCCGACCUGAGAGGGUGAUCGGCCACACUGGAACUGAGACACGGUCCAGACUCCUACGGGAGGCAGCAGUAGGGAAUCUUCCGCAAUGGGCGAAAGCCUGACGGAGCAACGCCGCGUGAGUGAUGAAGGUCUUCGGAUCGUAAAACUCUGUUAUUAGGGAAGAACAAAUGUGUAAGUAACGAUGCACGUCUUGACGGGACCUAAUCAGAAAGCCACGGCUAACUACGU